CAACAAUGGCUUCUGGAUUGGAUUUCUAGUGCCUCAGAUUUACAUGCACUGAUCCUUGCUGUGGCGAUUUGGCAUAUAUGGGAGAACCGGAACAAUAUAAGAAAUGGUGAAAAAAUGUCUCAUCCUUCACGUGUGGCAGGCAAGAUCAAAGCUUAUGUCGAUUUCAUCUUAUUGCACAAUUUCAGGUGGGCUGGCUCCAAUAGGCGUGAGCACCAGGUGUCAAUCCCGAAGUGGUCUCCGCCGCCGGCUGAGUCGGUCAAGGUCAAUGUUGAUGCUGCGAUUUUUGCCCAGACUAAACGCAUGGGCAUUGGUGUUGUGAUCCGAAAUCAUCUAGGUCAGGUGCUGGCAGCAAACAGAGGGUUUAUUCAUCAUGUUGAUAAUCCGGAGCUGGGUGAAGCUAUUGCAAUGCGCCAUGCGUUGUUUUUUGCUGAAGAUUCCGGUUUCCAGAAAAUCCUUGUGGAGACAGAUUGUGCCAGUUUGAUCAACAAAAUUAAGAGUAAAAUGGAUGACAGGUCUCACACAGGUGCUGUAAUUUUUGAUAUUAAGAGUAGGGCUCCAAGGUUCUUAUCCUGUUGUUUUACUCAUGUUAGUCGAAGUUGUAAUGAGGCAGCUCAUGUUCUAGCAAAGUCUGCUGAACAUGAUGAAGGGUCAUGCUGGUUUAAUGUAUCUCCUGAAGUUAUCAGGAAUAUAGUUUGUACUGAACAGUUCUGA
rnacentral:rRNA from 1 species